AUUGAACGCUGGCGGCAUGCUUUACACAUGCAAGUCGAACGGUAACAGGCCGCAAGGUGCUGACGAGUGGCGAACGGGUGAGUAAUGCAUCGGAACGUGCCCAGUCGUGGGGGAUAACGCAGCGAAAGCUGCGCUAAUACCGCAUACGAUCUCUGGAUGAAAGCGGGGGACCGAAAGGCCUCGCGCGAUUGGAGCGGCCGAUGUCAGAUUAGGUAGUUGGUGGGGUAAAGGCUCACCAAGCCAACGAUCUGUAGCUGGUCUGAGAGGACGACCAGCCACACUGGGACUGAGACACGGCCAAGACUCCUACGGGAGGCAGCAGUGGGGAAUUUUGGACAAUGGGCGCAAGCCUGAUUCAGCAAUGCCGCGUGCAGGAAGAAGGCCUUCGGGUUGUAAACUGCUUUUGUACGGAACGAAACGGUCCUGGUUAAUACCUGGGGCUAAUGACGGUACCGUAAGAAUAAGCACCGGCUAACUACGUGCCAGCCGCCGCCGUAACAC
rnacentral:rRNA from 1 species